CAGGGGGGGGCGUGCUACACAUGCAGUCGAACGAUGAUGCCCAGCUUGCUGGGUGGAUUAGUGGCGAACGGGUGAGUAACACGUGAGUAACCUGCCCUUGACUUCGGGAUAACUCCGGGAAACCGGGGCUAAUACCGGAUAUGAGCUACCUUCGCAUGGGGGUGGUUGGAAAGUUUUUCGGUCAAGGAUGGGCUCGCGGCCUAUCAGCUUGUUGGUGGGGUGAUGGCCUACCAAGGCGACGACGGGUAGCCGGCCUGAGAGGGCGACCGGCCACACUGGGACUGAGACACGGCCCAGACUCCUACGGGAGGCAGCAGUGGGGAAUAUUGCACAAUGGGCGAAAGCCUGAUGCAGCGACGCCGCGUGAGGGAUGAAGGCCUUCGGGUUGUAAACCUCUUUCAGCAGGGAAGAAGCGCAAGUGACGGUACCUGCAGAAGAAGCGCCGGCUAACUACGUGCCAGCAGCCGCGGUAAUACGUAGGGCGCAAGCGUUGUCCGGAAUUAUUGGGCGUAAAGAGCUCGUAGGCGGUUUGUCGCGUCUGGUGUGAAAACUCGAGGCUCAACCUCGAGCUUGCAUCGGGUACGGGCAGACUAGAGUGCGGUAGGGGAGACUGGAAUUCCUGGUGUAGCGGUGGAAUGCGCAGAUAUCAGGAGGAACACCGAUGGCGAAGGCAGGUCUCUGGGCCGCAACUGACGCUGAGGAGCGAAAGCAUGGGGAGCGAACAGGAUUAGAUACCCUGGUAGUCCAUGCCGUAAACGUUGGGCACUAGGUGUGGGGCUCAUUCCACGAGUUCCGUGCCGCAGCAAACGCAUUAAGUGCCCCGCCUGGGGAGUACGGCCGCAAGGCUAAAACUCAAAGGAAUUGACGGGGGCCCGCACAAGCGGCGGAGCAUGCGGAUUAAUUCGAUGCAACGCGAAGAACCUUACCAAGGCUUGACAUGCACGGGAAGCCACCAGAGAUGGUGGUCUCUUUGGACACUCGUGCACAGGUGGUGCAUGGUGUCGUCAGCUCGUGUCGUGAGAUGUUGGGUUAAGUCCCGCACGAGCGCACCCUCGUCCAUGUUGCCAGCGGUUAUGCUGGACUCAUGGAGACUGCGGUCACUCGAGAAGGUGGGAUGACGUCAAUCAUCAUGCCCUUAUGUUCUGGGCUCACGCAUGCUACAAUGGCCGGUACAGCUGCAACGGUAGUGGACGAUCCAAUCGUCUAGUUCGAUUGCUGCACUUUGACCUCCAUGAGAGAUCGGAAUCCUAGUA
rnacentral:rRNA from 1 species